rnacentral:rRNA from 1 species
GCAAGGUUAACCGUAUAGGGGAGCCGAAGGGAAACCGAGUCUUAACCGGGCGUUAAGUUGCAGGGUAUAGACCCGAAACCCGGUGAUCUAGCCAUGGGCAGGUUGAAGGUUGGGUAACACUAACUGGAGGACCGAACCGACUAAUGUUGAAAAAUUAGCGGAUGACCUGUGGCUGGGGGUGAAAGGCCAAUCAAACCGGGAGAUAGCUGGUUCUCCCCGAAAGCUAUUUAGGUAGCGCCUCGUGAAUUCAUCUCCGGGGGUAGAGCACUGUUUCGGCUAGGGGGCCAUCCCGGCUUACCAACCCGAUGCAAACUGCGAAUACCGGAGAAUGUUAUCACGGGAGACACACGGCGGGUGCUAACGUCCGUCGUGAAGAGGGAAACAACCCAGACCGCCAGCUAAGGUCCCAAAGUCAUGGUUAAGUGGGAAACGAUGUGGGAAGGCCCAGACAGCCAGGAUGUUGGCUUAGAAGCAGCCAUCAUUUAAAGAAAGCGUAAUAGCUCACUGGUCGAGUCGGCCUGCGCGGAAGAUGUAACGGGGCUAAACCAU